UUCAUUAUAUCAUUAAAGUAAUUUAGUAUUUUCGCGGAGCACACCAUCUUCAUCCCCUUCGGCCCUUCCCUUAUAUAAUAGAUAAUGUAUAUUGUAUACAUCUAUACUUAAUUUCAAACAACUGAUAAACAAGACCAAGAAAAAUGGAGAAGAAAUUCUUUUGGCUUUCGGUUUUGCUUCUCUGCUUACUCGCUUCUGAGAUGAACAUGGUGGUCGAAGUUGAUGGUGCGACUUGCGCAAAACCAAGUAAGUACUACAAAGGCGGUUGCUUUGCUACCAUAUCAGUUUCAGCUUGUAAGAAGACUUGUAGCCGAGAGAAUUGGCCUGAUGGUGCUUGUGUAUACCCAUUUAGAUGUGAAUGUCGAAGGCCUUGUUGAGAUAUGUGUGCUCCUCUAUCUAUGAACUAUGUGAAGUGUGUAUUAUAUAAGUCUCUUUUGAGUUGUACUAUAAUUUCCAGUUAGUUGUUAAGUAAAGAUUUCCAUAUAAAUCUGAGUACUUUUUUUUAGUAAGAUCCUUUGUUUUGUUGAUCUCCUCCAUUGUUGAAUAUUCAUCAAUAAUUUUUAUUUUAAUUUA